rnacentral:misc_RNA from 1 species
CAACCUUCAAGCCCAGCUUGGUGUUGGGCGCUGUCCCGCCCCCGCGCGAGGACUCGCCCCAAAUGAAUUGGCAGCCGCACCCCGAAAGCCGCGAGCGCAGCAAAGACGCGCGAGCUGGCCCCCGGGGAAGGGCGCUCCACGAGACACAACCACAAG